rnacentral:rRNA from 1 species
AGAGUUUGAUCCUGGCUCAGGAUGAACGCUGGCGGCGUGUCUUAGGCAUGCAAGUCUAAUGGAAUUUAUUCCAUGGCAGACGGGUGAGUAUAGACAGUGGUAACCUACCCCAGAGUCGCGAAUAACCAUACGAAAGGAUGGAUAAUACGCGAUGGAAUAGACAGUGGUAACCUACCCCACAAGGGGGGAUAUAAAUCAUUCCCUUGUAAAGAUUUAUCGCUCUGGGAGGGGCCUUUGCCCUAUCAGCUUGUUGGUGAGGUAAAAGCUCACCAAGGCAUUGACGGGUAGCGGGUGUGAGAGCAUGACCCGCCACAUUGGCACUGAAACACUGGCCAAACUCCUACGGGAGGCUGCAGUCGAGAAUCUUCCGCAAUGCAGGAAACUGUGACGGAGCGACGCCGCGUGCCGGAAGAAGCCCUUCGGGGUGUAAAUGGCUUUUAUCAGGGAGAAAUUCGUGAUGUUACCUGAUGAAUAAGAGGUUGCUAACUACGUGCCAGCAGCAGCGGUAAUACGUAGACCUCAAGCGUUAUCCGGAUUUAUUGGGCGUAAAGAGCUAAAAGGCGGUUUAGAAAGUUGGGUAUCAAAGCCCGGGGCUCAACCUCGGAUCUAUAUCCAAAACUCCUAAACUAGAGGGUGGAAGAGGCAAGCGGAAUGGCUGGUGUAGCAGUAAAAUGCGUUAAUAUCAGCUAGAACACCGAUGGUGAAGGCAGCUUGCUGGUACACUCCUGACGCUAAAUAGCGAAAGCGUGGGUAGCGAAUGGGAUUAGAUACCCCAGUAGUCCACGCCGUAAACGUUGAGUGCUAGGUAUCGGGGAUUCGACCCC